AGUGAACGCUGGCGGUAGGCCUAACACAUGCAAGUCGAACGGCAGCACAGUAAGAGCUUGCUCUUACGGGUGGCGAGUGGCGGACGGGUGAGGAAUACAUCGGAAUCUACUUUUUCGUGGGGGAUAACGUAGGGAAACUUACGCUAAUACCGCAUACGACCUACGGGUGAAAGCAGGGGAUCUUCAGACCUUGCGCGACUGAAUGAGCCGAUGUCGGAUUAGCUAGUUGGCGGGGUAAAGGCCCACCAAGGCGACGAUCCGUAGCUGGUCUGAGAGGAUGAUCAGCCACACUGGAACUGAGACACGGUCCAGACUCCUACGGGAGGCAGCAGUGGGGAAUAUUGGACAAUGGGCGCAAGCCUGAUCCAGCCAUGCCGCGUGGGUGAAGAAGGCCUUCGGGUUGUAAAGCCCUUUUGUUGGGGAAGAAAAGCAGCAGAUUAAUACCCCGCUGUUCUGACGGUACCCAAAGAAUAAGCACCGGCUAACUUCGUG
rnacentral:rRNA from 1 species